UCGGUGUUGUUGUUGUGCUGUCUUUAGUCUUUGUAUUUGGAGGGUGUUAUCUGGGAUGGAGGAUGAUUAGACGUCAAAACUCAGGAAACAGAAGACAAUCAGGACUCGUACUACCCGGGUGAGACGGUUCAGACUGAACUCCUGCAGAGUGAAUCAUCUCCAGGAUCCUGUUCUGGUCCACCUGCUGGAUCCUGACACAUUCUUGAUAUCUGUUUAUAUGUGUAUAUCUGUUUAU